rnacentral:rRNA from 1 species
GACGAACGCUGGCGGCGUGCUUAACACAUGCAAGUCGAGCGAUGAAGCUUCUUCGGAAGUGGAUUAGCGGCGGACGGGUGAGUAACACGUGGGUAACCUGCCUUAUAGUGGGGAAUAGCCUUUCGAAAGGAAGAUUAAUACCCCAUAAGAUUGUAGUUUCGCAUGAAACAGCAAUUAAAGGAGCAAUUCGCUAUAAGAUGGCCCCGCGGCGCAUUAGCUAGUUGGUGAGGUAACGGCCCACCAAGGCGACGAUGCGUAGCCGACCUGAGAGGGUGAUCGGCCACAUUGGGACUGAGACACGGCCCAGACUCCUACGGGAGGCAGCAGUGGGGAAUAUUGCACAAUGGGGGAAACCCUGAUGCAGCAACGCCGCGUGAGUGAUGACGGUCUUCGGAUUGUAAAGCUCUGUCUUUAGGGACGAUAAUGACGGUACCUAAGGAGGAAGCCACGGCUAACUACGUG